GGAAUUGUUCGCAAUGGGCGCAAGCCUGACGACGCAACGCCGCGUGGAGGACGAAGAUCUUCGGGUCGUAAACUCCUGUCGAGCGGGACGAACGCUUCGCGGAUGAAUAUUCCGCGGAAUUGACGGUACCGCUAAAGGAAGCCCCGGCUAACUCCGUGCCAGCAGCCGCGGUAAGACGGAGGAGGCUAGCGUUGUUCGGAAUUACUGGGCGUAAAGCGCGCGCAGGCGGCUUUGCAAGUCAGGGGUGAAAGCCCGGGGCUCAACCUCGGAACUGCCUUUGAGACUGCAAGGCUCGAGACCGGGAGAGGAGAGUGGAAUUCCCAGUGUAGAGGUGAAAUUCGUAGAUAUUGGGAAGAACACCAGUGGCGAAGGCGGCUCUCUGGCCCGGACCUGACGCUGAGGCGCGAAAGCGUGGGGAGCAAAC
rnacentral:rRNA from 1 species